rnacentral:rRNA from 1 species
GCGGCAGGCUUAACACAUGCAAGUCGAGCGGAGAGAGGUAGCUUGCUACUGAUCUUAGCGGCGGACGGGUGAGUAACACGUGGGAACGUGCCUUUAGGUUCGGAAUAGCUCCUGGAAACGGGUGGUAAUGCCGAAUGUGCCCUUCGGGGGAAAGAUUUAUCGCCUUUAGAGCGGCCCGCGUCUGAUUAGCUAGUUGGUGGUGUAACGGACCACCAAGGCGACGAUCAGUAGCUGGUCUGAGAGGAUGAUCAGCCACAUUGGGACUGAGACACGGCCCAAACUCCUACGGGAGGCAGCAGUGGGGAAUCUUGCGCAAUGGGCGAAAGCCUGACGCAGCCAUGCCGCGUGAAUGAUGAAGGUCUUAGGAUUGUAAAAUUCUUUCACCGGGGACGAUAAUGACGGUACCCGGAGAAGAAGCCCCGGCUAACUUCGUGCCAGCCGCCGCGGUAAAAC